rnacentral:rRNA from 1 species
ACGGGAGGCAGCAGUGGGGAAUAUUGGACAAUGGGGGAAACCCUGAUCCAGCGACGCCGCGUGAGUGAAGAAGUAUUUCGGUAUGUAAAGCUCUAUCAGCAGGGAAGAUGAUGACGGUACCUGACUAAGAAGCCCCGGCUAACUACGUGCCAGCAGCCGCGGUAAUACGUAGGGGGCAAGCGUUAUCCGGAUUUACUGGGUGUAAAGGGAGCGUAGACGGUAAUGCAAGUCUGAAGUGAAAGCUCGGGGCUCAACUCCGGAAUUGCUUUGGAAACUGUGUUACUAGAGUGCAGGAGAGGCAAGUGGAAUUCCUAGUGUAGCGGUGAAAUGCGUAGAUAUUAGGAGGAACACCAGUGGCGAAGGCGGCUUGCUGGACUGUAACUGACGUUGAGGCUCGAAAGCGUGGGGAGCAAACAGGAUUAGAUACCCUGGUA